GUUCCUGUAGCUCAACUGGUAGAGCACUGCGCUUAUCAAGCGCAAGGUUGUGGGUUCGAUUCCCCCGGGAACA